UUGUUUUAGCCUUGCAACAUUUCAGUGUGUAUGUUUGCACCGCUCAGAAACCAUUGACUGUGUAUACAGAUCAUAACCCAUUGGUGUUUCUGAGCCGAGUCAAAAACAAGAACAGAAGGCUGUUAAACUGGAGUUUAAUUUUGCAAGAGUUUGAUCUCAUGAUAACUCACAUUAAAGGCAAAGAUAAUGUGAUUGCUGAUUGUCUUUCCCGAUGUUAAAUGGGAAACAUGUAUCUGUACUAAUCUGAUAGUCUGUAGUUGUGUAGCAUGAUAAUUAUUAACAUUACUAACUGUAUGCGCGGUUAAAAUUUUCUUGGGAAAAUUUUUUUUUAGGUGGGAGGUGUUAUGGACUCAGUGAAAGUCCCUUUAAGAUAGAGAGUGUGUGUGUAUGUGUGUGUGGGGCGUGCUUACGUCAAUAGAAGAUAAAGGACGUAAUGACGUUGUUGAAGAAGUCAGAAGAAGAAGAAAGAGAGAGAGAGAAGGGAGAGAGACACCAGCUUGCUUGUUUUCUCUAUCGAUGGAUGAGAAACAAUAACUGUGUUUGCCACUGAAAUCCAUGUAUGGAAGUUGGAAGUAAUCCGGUGGAGUUCACUUUGUUGCUGACCUGUAGAAGGAAACAGGUAUUUGUAUGUGGACGACCACGGUUCGGAUGCUUUUCGGGGUGAGGAAGUCACUACCGAGUAAACAGUGGAGUGUCGUUUGGGUUCCAUCGUGGAACAUUUGGAUUUCGUAUGUACUCUCUCUAUGUUUUUCUACAUCUACAUCUUAUCUUCAGACAACGGUGGUUGUUGAAGAAGCCCUUGCUCAUGUUUCACCUUAUGGCUUGCGGAACUGAACUUUAAGAACCAUUCAGGAACUGGGAGUUUUGGACUUUGUCACACACACACACGACGAAUUUAGUUUUGGGGUUAACGUUCGAGGUUUAACAUUCUUGAAUUCUAACAUACUAAC